CUUGGAUAAUUGCUCUGAUAAAGCAAUGUAUCCCCGACGAGUCACCUUUCAUUUACCCCUUUGUUGGUAAUGAUCGUUUCUCCCCUUUGAUUGGUCAUCUUUUUAUACGCAUUAUUUGGUAUCUGAUGUCCUUUCUUUUCGGUCGAUUUAUCUUUUAUUAACCCAGUAACCGGUUGUGGAUAAUCUUCAAUGCGAGUAUGUUAUCUAC
rnacentral:lncRNA from 1 species